GAUGAACGCUGGCGGCGUGCCUAAUACAUGCAAGUCGAACGCUGGAGAUCUAGCUUGCUAGAUCGAAGGAGUGGCGAACGGGUGAGUAAUACAUAAGCAACCUACCCACGAAGACUGGGAUAAUCUCUGGAAACGGGGACUAAUACCGGAUAGGUAAUCGGAAGGCAUCUUCUGGUUAUUAAAGGUUAAAAACACUGGUGGAUGGGCUUAUGGCGCAUUAGUUAGUUGGUGAGGUAACGGCCCACCAAGACGAUGAUGCGUAGCCGGCCUGGGAGGGUGAACGGCCACAUUGGGACUGAGACACGGCCCAGACUCCUACGGGAGGCAGCAGUAGGGAAUUUUCGGCAAUGGGGGCAACCCUGACCGAGCAACGCCGCGUGAGUGAAGACGGCCUUCGGGUUGUAAAGCUCUGUUGUAAGGGAAGAACGGUAGAUAGAGAAUAUCUAAGUGACGGUACCUUACCAGAAAGCCACGGCUAACUACGUG
rnacentral:rRNA from 1 species